rnacentral:rRNA from 1 species
GUGAGGAAUAUUGGUCAAUGGGCGGAAGCCUGAACCAGCCAUGCCGCGUGAAGGAUGAAGGUUCUAUGGAUUGUAAACUUCUUUUAUUUGGGAAUAAACCCUCUGACGUGUUGGAGGCUGAAGGUACCAAAUGAAUAAGCACCGGCUAACUCCGUGCCAGCAGCCGCGGUAAUACGGAGGGUGCAAGCGUUAUCCGGAAUCAUUAGGUUUAAAGGGUCCGCAGGCGGAUUUAUAAGUCAGUGGUGAAAGCCUACAGCUCAACUGUAGAACUGCCAUUGAUACUGUAAGUCUUGAAUUCGGUCGAAGUGGGCGGAAUAUGACAUGUAGCGGUGAAAUGCAUAGAUAUGUCAUAGAACACCGAUAGCGAAGGCAGCUCACUAGGCCUGAAUUGACGCUCAUGGACGAAAGCGUGGGGAGCAAACAGGAUUAGAUACCCUAGUAGUCC